rnacentral:sRNA from 1 species
GCAGGGCAUAGUGGCAUCUGCCUGUAAUACCAGCUACUUGGGAGGCUGAGACAAGAGGAUUACAAGUUCAAGGCUAGCCUGGACAAUUUAGUGAGACCCUGUCUCAA